rnacentral:rRNA from 1 species
GAUGAACGCUGGCGGCGUGCCUAAUACAUGCAAGUCGAGCGAACAGACGAGGAGCUUGCUCCUCCGACGUUAGCGGUGGACGGGUGAGUAACACGUGGAUAACCUACCUAUAAGACUGGGAUAACUUCGGGAAACCGGAGCUAAUACCGGAUAAUAUAUUGAACCGCAUGGUUCAAUAGUGAAAGACGGUUUUGCUGUCACUUAUAGAUGGAUCCGCGCCGCAUUAGCUAGUUGGUAAGGUAACGGCUUACCAAGGCGACGAUGCGUAGCCGACCUGAGAGGGUGAUCGGCCACACUGGAACUGAGACACGGUCCAGACUCCUACGGGAGGCAGCAGUAGGGAAUCUUCCGCAAUGGGCGAAAGCCUGACGGAGCAACGCCGCGUGAGUGAUGAAGGUCUUCGGAUCGUAAAACUCUGUUAUUAGGGAAGAACAAAUGUGUAAGUAACUAUGCACGUCUUGACGGUACCUAAUCAGAAAGCCACGGCUAACUACGUG